rnacentral:rRNA from 1 species
GAUGAACGCUGGCGGCGUGCCUAAUACAUGCAAGUAGAACGCUGAAGCUUGGUGCUUGCACCGAGCGGAUGAGUUGCAAACGGGUGAGUAACGCGUAGGUAACCUGCCUCUUAGCGGGGGAUAACUAUUGGAAACGAUAGCUAAUACCGCAUAAAAGUUGACAUUGCAUGAUGUUGAUUUGAAAGAUGCAAUUGCAUCACUAAGAGAUGGACCUGCGUUGUAUUAGCUAGUUGGUGAAGUAACGGCUCACCAAGGCGACGAUACAUAGCCGACCUGAGAGGGGGGUCGGCCACACUGGGACUGAGACACGGCCCAGGCUCCUACGGGAGGCAGCAGGAGGGAAUCUUCGGCAAUGGACGGAAGGCUGACCGAGCAACGCCGCGGGAGUGAAGAAGGUUUUCGGAUCGUAAAGCUCUGUUGUAAGGGAAGAACGAGUGUGAGAGUGGAAAGUUCACACUGUGACGGUAACUUACCAGAAAGGGACGGCUAACUACGUG